UUAGCCCUUGACUCUCAUCUGUUCAGCUUGAUUGCGGUAUGGUAGAACGACAGCUACAAAUAUCACGAUCGCAAUCACCUGAUUGGUUGACGCUCGCUCACUAUUGGCUAUAAUGCCUUAUUGCAACAAGAGUAGCAUAAAAGCCAAUAACAACAAUUGCGAUUGUAAUAAUGAUUGAUGCAAGUUUUACGGAAUCGAACUACAA